UGAGUCAUGAGGACACUAAUCCAGAAUCAAGGGGGAAAGGAAGAAUAUAUUCUUUCUAUUAUUAGGGGAAUGGCAUGAUGUGUGUAUAGGAAAGAAAUUGGUGAACAUCAUGACAACCUACCACAAGCUUGGAAAAGAGUACACAGGAAAGUGUCUUCAUGGCCUUGGUAAACAAGGACAUCAACGGGGCACAAAAAAUACUAAUAAUGUAUGAAAAGAAAAUAAGUUAGAAUUCAUCGAAACUUCUGAUUAUCAAAAGACACUGUUGAGAACAUCAAAGAGCAGCCUACUGAUUAUUGGAGAAAGUAUUUACCCUCCAUAUACUUGACAGAAAGACUCCUAUCCUUAACCUACAAAGAACUCCAGUAUCAAUCUUAAAAGGAAAAACAUCAAAAUUUUAAAAAUGGACAAUCAACUUGAACAAGAACUUCACAAAAAGAGAUCCAAAUGGCUGACAAACAUAUGAAAACAUUCUCAACUCAGUACUCGUCCAAAACAGUGCAACAAUACAUUCUUAUGGUGAAUAAUGGCUAAAAACCUGAGGAAGACAACACCAAGUGUUGGUGAGGAUGUGGAACAACUCAAACUCUCCUACACUGCUGGUGGGAGUGUUGCUUCCGAAAGCUUUUUGGCAGCUUUAGCUUCAGAUUAAUAGACACCAUAUCAAUUAUGUAUUGCCACAUUUACUAACCAUCUCAAAGCUUAGUGGCAUAAAGCAGUAAUUCUUUAAUUUGUUAAUGAUUCUCUGGAUCAACAACUUGAGCUGAGUUCAGCCAGAUGAUUCUUCCACUGGUCUUGUUCAGGGAUGACAAGACUGGGGAAUGGCACUACAGUAUUAUGGCUUGCCUGGGACUGGAUAGUCUAAAAUGACUUCACUCAUAUGUUCAGUGAUGGCUGUUGAUCACAUGUCUUCAACAAACUAAUCCAGGCUUCUUCACGUGACGUCAAUGUUCCAAGCAGACACUCCCUUUUCAAAUUUCUGCUUAUGUCAUGUUUGCAAUGUCCCAUUGGCCAAAGUUGCUCACAGAGAAGCAGCCGCAGGACUGUGCUCAGGUGUAACUGACAGAACUGUAUCCCCACCAUACUCCUGAUAAGUACUGACCGUAUUACUCCUUCCGGUUUAACAGCUGAAAGCAAGUGCUAUAAAUUAAUAACUUCUUAUGAGAUUGAGCAUAUUAUUUGGUGUUAAGUAGAAAAAGCCCCAGUAAUUUUAUUCUUGCUACUAUCCACAACUUUUCGCCUUGCAUAGUCU
rnacentral:lncRNA from 1 species